rnacentral:rRNA from 1 species
ACGGGUGAGUAACGCGUGGAUAACCUGCCUCACACAGGGGGAUAACAGUUAGAAAUGACUGCUAAUACCGCAUAAGCGCACGGUACCGCAUGGUACAGUGUGAAAAAUUCCGGUGGUGUGAGAUGGAUCCGCGUCUGAUUAGGUAGUUGGUGAGGUAACGGCCCACCAAGCCGACGAUCAGUAGCCGACCUGAGAGGGUGACCGGCCACAUUGGGACUGAGACACGGCCCAAACUCCUACGGGAGGCAGCAUG